CUNGGUCGUAACUGCUUUUUGGGGAAANUUCUGAUUNUACCNUAAGAAUAAGCACCGGCAAAUCACGUGCCAGCAGCCGCGGUAAUACGNGGAGGUGCAAACGUUACCCGGGAAUUAUUGGGCGUAAAGCGUCCGCAGGUGGCGUAGUAAGUUGGAUGUUAAAUCUUGAAGCUCAACUUCAAGUCUGUGUUCAAAACUACUAUGCUAGAGAUUAGGAGAGGUGAGUGGAAUUUCUGCAUGUAGGGGUAAAAUCCGUAGAUAUGCAGAGGAACACCAAAAGCGAAGGCAGCUCACUGGCCUAUAUCUGACACUCAUGGACGAAAGCGUAGGUAGCAAACGGGAUUAGAUACCCCGGUAGUCUACGCUGUAAACGAUGAUCACUCGAUGUCGGGAGUUCGACCCUCUCGGUGUCUAAGCAAACGCGAUAAGUGAUCCGCCUGAGAAGUACGAUCGCAAGAUUAAAACUCAAAGGAAUAGACGGGGACCCACACAAGCGGUGGAGCGUGUGGUUUAAUUCGAUAGUAAGCGAGGAACCUUACCAGGGUUUGACAUCUCGGGAAUUUUCUGGAAACAGAGAAGUGCCGUAAGGAACCCGAUGACAGGUGCUGCAUGGUUGUCGUCAGCUCGUGCCUUGAGGUGUUCGGUUAAGUCCGUAAACGAGCGCAACCCACGUCCUUAGUUGUAUUUUUCUAAGGAGACUGCCUUGCAUAACAAGGAGGAAGGUGUGGAUGACGUCAAAUCAGCAUGGCCCUUAUACUCUGGGCGACACACGCGCUACAAUGGCCGGUACAACGGGCAGCCAAGGAGUGAUCCGGAGCGAAUCCCUAAAACCGGUCCAAGUUCGGAUUGAAGGCUGCAACUCGCCUUCAUGAAGCUGGAAUCGCUAGUAAAUGUGUAUCAGCCACGGCGCAUUGAAUAUGUUCCUGGGUCUUGUACUCACCGCCCGUCAAGUCAUGAAAGUUAGGGGUGCCCGAAGUUCCCACUCAGUGGGGCCUAAGGCAAAACUAAUGAUUGGGACUAAGUCGUAACAAGGUAGC
rnacentral:rRNA from 1 species